CGGAGGAAAAGAAACCAACAGGGAUUGCCCUAGUAACGGCGAGUGAAGCGGCAACAGCUCAAAUUUGAAAUCUGGUCCUUUCAGGGCCCGAGUUGUAAUUUGCAGAGGAUGCUUCGGGUACGGGUGCCUACUGAGUUCCCUGGAACGGGACGCCAUAGAGGGUGAGAGCCCCGUCUAGUAGGAUACCCAGCCCAUGUGAAGCUCCCUCGACGAGUCGAGUAGUUUGGGAAUGCUGCUCUAAUGGGAGGUAUACUCCUUCCAAGGCUAAAUACCGGCUGGAGACCGAUAGCGCACAAGUAGAGUGAUCGAAAGAUGAAAAGCACUUUGAAAAGAGAGUCAAAUAGCACGUGAAAUUGUUGAAAGGGAAGCGCUCGCUACCAGACUUGAGUUAGGCGGUUCAACCGGGGCCACGCCCCGGGGCACUCCACCUGCUCAGGCCAGCAUCAGCUUUCCGUCGGGGGCAAAGGCGUCGGGAAUGUGGCUCUCCUCCGGGAGAGUGUUAUAGCCCGGCGUGUCAUACCCUUCGGGGGGCUGAGGUACGCGCUUCUGCAAGGAUGCUGGCGUAAUG
rnacentral:rRNA from 1 species